UAGAUUUUAGUUUAAAAAGAAUAUUUCAGUUACAUUGAAAAAGUUUUAAUAUAAUUUAAAAAAUUUAU
rnacentral:tRNA from 1 species